rnacentral:rRNA from 1 species
AUGGCAGAAUGCUUCAAUAGGGUGCUCAAGGGUGUACAUGCAUUACCCGUGACGGCAAUAGUUCAAUACACAUUUGACAAGAUGAAUGAAUACUUUUUGAAGCACUCAAUGGAGACUGAUAAGCAGAUUGCUGGUGAGAACAAGGAUAAGCACAAGUACAAUUUCCCACCAAAGGUUGAAGAAUGGUUGGAAUUUCAAUCACGAAAGGCAGACUCCGAAGAAGCUGUUCUAUAUGACGACAACGAGUGGAAGUAUGAGGUGAAAGAGCCCGGAGGAACCACAAAUGAUGGCCGCCAGCACGGAGGCCGGGCUUUCAAGGUCUCCCUAACACGGUGCGAUUGCAGCUGCAUGAGGCCGUCUUUGCUUCAUCUCCCAUGCUCGCACUUGUUAAAUGCAUCCCGGGUUAGGAAUGUGGACGUCAAUCACCCUCUAACCGUGAGGGAGUCCGAGUUCUCAAUCAUGACGGUAAAGAAGACAUGGACUCCACGGUUCCAGCCAUACUUGGACCAAUCACAAUGGCCGGAGUAUCAUGGAGUUCAACUAUGGCCGGACCCG